rnacentral:rRNA from 1 species
CGUAGGCAGCGAGCGUUGUUCGGAGUUACUGGGCGUAAAGCGUGCGUAGGCGGUGGUCCAAGUCUGGUGUGAAAUCUCCCGGCUUAACUGGGAGGGUGCGCCGGAAACUGGGCCGCUGGAGUACGGGAGAGGCAAGCGGAAUUCCUGGUGUAGCGGUGAAAUGCGUAGAUAUCAGGAGGAACACCCGUGGUGCAGACGGCUUGCUGGACCGUGACUGACGCUGAGGCACGAAAGCGUGGGUAGCAAACAGGAUUAGAUACCCUGGUAGUCCACGCCCUAAACGAUGCAUACUUGGUGUGGGCAGUUCAGUCUGUCCGUGCCGAAGCUAACGCGAUAAGUAUGCCGCCUGGGGAGUACGGUCGCAAGGCUG